AUGGAGUCCGGCGUGGAGUGCGCGGACGUGGUCCACGGCGACUACUUCAUGGGCGGCAUGAUGGUGAUCAACGGCCUCAUGGCCCUCGUCCUCCUCCUCUCGGGCCUCUUCCACUCCUUCCUCCGCCGCCUCGGCCAGCCCAGCAUCAUCUCCCACAUCCUCGCCGGCGUCGUCGUCGGCCCCACCUUCCUCGGCCGCGCCGUCGACCUGCGCCGCCUGGGCAUGCAGAACGCCGGCAGCGCGCUGGGCGACACCAUCUACUACCUCCGCAUCAUCUUCAUGUUCUUCCUCGGCCUCGAGAUGGACCUGCGCUACCUCCGCCACAACCUGCGCCGCUCUCUCCUGCUCGCCUGCGGCGGCUCCGCCAUCAGCUUCCUCCUCGCCGUCGCCGCGGGGCCCUUCUUCUACGGCAUGCUCCACCCAAGCUUCGCCGCCACCUUCCAUCCCCAGAAGCUCUACGCCUCCACCGCGCUCUUCAUCCUCGUGCUCACCAGCACCGCCUCCCCGGUGCUCAUCCGCAUCGUCACCGAGCUCAAGCUGACCACCUCCGAGACCGGCCAGCUCGCCAUCGGCGCAGCCUUCGCCACCGACAUCGCCAGCCUCACCGCCAUCAGCAUGAUGGUGGUGAACCCCACCAUCUUCGGCCACGACGGCAAGCCCCUCCCGUCGCGCUCCUCCUCUUGCUCCAUGCAGUUCCUCCUCUUCCUCUGGAUGGCGCUGGUGGUGUGCGUCGCCGUGGGCGUGGCCGUGAGGGCGGCCAGGCUGAUCAACCGGAUGAAGUGGGGCCGGCAGUACGUGAGCAAGUACGAGCUGCUGGGCAUGCUGCUGCUCAUCGUGGGCCUCUCCCUGGCGGUGCAGUUCAUGGGGUACAGCGCCUCCAUGGCCGCCUUCCUCAUCGGCCUGGCGGUGCCGCGCGAGGGGCCCCUGGCGCGCACGCUCGUCGACCGCCUCACCUACCCGGUGCACCAGAUGGUGAUGCCGCUCUGCUUCGGCGCCAUCGGCGCCAGGCUCGACUUCGCCGAGAUCGGGCGCUUCACGGCCACCCAGUUCGCCUUCGCCGUGGCGUUCACCACGGCGGUGAGCUCCACCGGGAAGGUGGGCGGCACGGUGCUGGUGGGGCGGUGGCUGGGCAUGUCGGCGCGGGAGGCGCUGGUGCUGGGGUUCCUGCUCAACGUCAAGGGCUACUCGGACAUCCUGGCCAUCAACUUGGCGGACAAGAGCAACGUGUGGGGCGACACGGCGCAGGUGGUGCUGGUGGUGGCGUCCAUCGUCAACACCUUCAUGGCCGGGCCGGCGUCGGCGGCCAUCGUCCGGCAGCAGCGGCGCGCCUUCAAGUACCGCUCGCACUGCCUGCAGGAGCUGCGGCUGGAGCAGGAGCUGCGGGUGCUGGUGUGCGUGCACGGCGCCGGCGGCGUGCAGGCCAUGCUGACGCUGGCGGAGCUGUCCAAGGGCAGCAGCGCGCCGGUGGCCGUCUACCUGCUGCACCUGGUGGAGCUGCAGACGGCGCGCAAGUACGCCAUCACGCACCUCUACAACAACCAGUCCUUGGACUCCAAGGAGGAGGAGGAGGAGGAGGAGGAGGAGGACGCCCGGUGGGGCUACUCGUGGGAGAUGGAGCAAGUGACGGCGGCCGUGCACGCCUUCAGCACCUACGACGCCGCCGUGCCGGUGCCGGUGCGCCAGAUGACGGCCAUCUCCAGCCUGGCGUCCAUGGACGAGGACGCGCGGGCGUCGCUGGUGAUCGUGCCGUUCCACAAGGAGCAGCGCUACGACGGGCGCAUGGUGUCGCGGCGCGGCGGGGACGGGCGGCGGCAGCUGAACCAGCGCAUCCUGCAGCGCGCGCGGUGCACCGUGGGGAUCCUCGUGGAGCGGCGCCUCCCCAGCAUACCUGGCAUCAGCGCCGCGCCGACGCCGAUGCCAGAGCGAGACCUCGACCUCGACCACGACCACGACCUCGAGGAGGAGAGCGGCCGUGCUUCGGUGCAGCAAGAAGAAGAAGCGAUGCACCAGGUGGUGGCGGUGUUCCUGAGCGGUGCGGACGACCGGGAGGCGGUGGCGUACGCGACGCGGCUGUCGGCGCACCCGUCGGUGAGCGUGUCGGUGUCCCGGUUCAUGCUGCCGGAGGAGUCGCGGACGAGGAUGAGGAUGUCGGAGGAGGAGGCGGAGGACGAGGAGUUCAUGGCGGAGGUGCGCGCGCGGUUCGUGUCGCCGGGGCAGGUGACGUACACGGAGCGGUACGUGAGCAACGGGGUGGAGACGCUGGAGUCGCUAAGCUCGAUGGUGGGGGAGUGCUCGCUGUUCGUGGUGGGGCGGGGUGGCGGCGAGGGCGGAGGCGGGGCGGCGAGGAACACGAUGACUCGGGGCAUGGCGGGGCUGGAGGUGGAGGAGGAGGAGUGCCCGGAGCUGGGCGCCAUCGGGGAGGUGCUGGCGUCGGACGACUUCUUGGGGUGCUCCGCGUCGGUGCUGGUGCUGCAGCAGCACAAGCUGCACCGGAGGAUGAGGACCUGGAAGCAGAAGCAGCAGCAGUCGCACUCCCAGUCCCAGCACGGCGGCGGCCGCGCCUUGCCCUUCCCCGACGAAGACGACGACAUCUUCGACUGGAAUUAUGACUAG
rnacentral:rRNA from 1 species